rnacentral:rRNA from 1 species
UACGGAGGAUGCGAGCGUUAUCCGGAUUUAUUGGGUUUAAAGGGUGCGUAGGCGGACUGUCAAGUCAGCGGUAAAAUUGAGAGGCUCAACCUCUUCCCGCCGUUGAAACUGGUGGUCUUGAGUGGAUGAGAAGUACGCGGAAUGCGUGGUGUAGCGUUGAAAUGCAUAGAUAUCACGCAGAACUCCGAUUGCGAAGGCAGCGUACCGGCAUCCAACUGACGCUGAGGCACGAAAGCGUGGGGAUCAAACAGG